GUUCACUGAAUUUUCAUUAUUUUUUUAUAUUAAAUCAAAAUGAUUUUUUUAAAACAGUUUUUAAAAAUGUUUAUAUUUAAUGUUAUUAUAGUUUGCGUUUUAUCCACAGAACAUCAUAAUACACGGGGUUCAUUAGCACUGAGUUGUGAAAUGACUCUAGAUAAUUUUGCUAUAUUUGAAGGUAAGUU